rnacentral:tRNA from 1 species
GGGCGAGUGGCGGAAUUGGUAUACGCGUGUGGCUUAGGACCACAUCCCGCAAGGGUUGGGAGUUCGAGUCUCCCCUCGCCCA